rnacentral:rRNA from 1 species
UACGUAGGGGGCGAGCGUUGUCCGGAAUCAUUGGGCGUAAAGAGCGUGUAGGUGGGCCGGAAGGUCUGGUGUGAAAGCCCGGGGCUCAACCCCGGAGGGUCACCGGAAACCGACGGCCUUGAGUCCGGAAGAGGAGAGUGGAAUUCCUGGUGUAGCGGUGGAAUGCGCAGAUAUCAGGAGGAACACCGAUGGCGAAGGCAGCUCUCUGGUACGUGACUGACACUGAGACGCGAAAGCGUGGGGAGCGAACAGG